CGAGAAAGCCCGCAAGGGUGAGUACAGCGGCGCACGGGUGCGUAACACGUGAGUAAUCUGCCCUGGAGCCCGGAAUAACCUCCCGAAAGGGAAGCUAAUGCCGGAUGAGCCCACGGGGUCUUCGGACCCAGAGGGAAAAGGCGGCCUCUGUAUACAAGCUGUCACUUCAGGAUGAGCUCGCGGCCCAUCAGCUAGUUGGCGGGGUAAUGGCCCACCAAGGCUACGACGGGUAGCUGGUCUGAGAGGACGAUCAGCCACACUGGAACUGAGACACGGUCCAGACUCCUACGGGAGGCAGCAGUGGGGAAUCUUGCGCAAUGGGCGAAAGCCUGACGCAGCAACGCCGCGUGUGUGAUGAAGGUCUUCGGAUCGUAAAGCACUGUCGCGAGGGACG
rnacentral:rRNA from 1 species